AGAACUUAGCAGAGAUGCUUUGUGCCUUCGGGAGCUCUGAGACAGGUGCUGCAUGGCUGUCGUCAGCUCGUGUUGUGAAAUGUUCGGGUUAAGUCCCGCAACGAGCGCAACCCUUAUCCUUUGUUGCCAGCGGUCCGGCCGGGAACUCAAAGGAGACUGCCAGUGAUAAACUGGAGGAAGGUGGGGAUGACGUCAAGUCAUCAUGGCCCUUACGAGUAGGGCUACACACGUGCUACAAUGGCGCAUACAAAGAGAAGCGACCUCGCGAGAGCAAGCGGACCUCAUAAAGUGCGUCGUAGUCCGGAUUGGAGUCUGCAACUCGACUCCAUGAAGUCGGAAUCGCUAGUAAUCGUGGAUCAGAAUGCCACGGUGAAUACGUUCCCGGGCCUUGUACACACCGCCCGUCACACCAUGGGAGUGGGUUGCAAAAGAAGUAGGUAGCUUAACCUUCGGGAGGGCGCUUACCACUUUGUGAUUCAUGACUGGGGUGAAGUCGUAACAAGGUAAGCGUAGUGCU
rnacentral:rRNA from 1 species